GGGUUGUGAGGUUAAGCGACUAAGCGUACACGGUGGAUGCCCUGGCAGUCAGAGGCGAUGAAGGACGUGCUAAUCUGCGAAAAGCGUCGGUAAGGUGAUAUGAACCGUUAUAGCCGGCGAUGUCCGAAUGGGGAAACCCAGUGCAAUUCGUUGCACUAUCGUUAACUGAAUACAUAGGUUAACGAGGCGAACCGGGGGAACUGAAACAUCUAAGUACCCCGAGGAAAAGAAAUCAACCGAGAUUCCCCCAGUAGCGGCGAGCGAACGGGGAGCAGCCCAGAGUCUGAAUCAGCUUGUGUGUUAGUGGAACGGUCUGGAAAGUCCGACGGUACAGGGUGAUAGUCCCGUACACCAAAAUGCACAGGUUGUGAACUCGAAGAGUAGGGCGGGACACGUGGUAUCCUGUCUGAAUAUGGGGGGACCAUCCUCCAAGGCUAAAUACUCCUGACUGACCGAUAGUGAACCAGUACCGUGAGGGAAAGGCGAAAAGAACCCCGGCGAGGGGAGUGAAAAAGAACCUGAAACCGUGUACGUACAAGCAGUGGGAGCACCUUCGGGUGUGACUGCGUACCUUUUGUAUAAUGGGUCAGCGACUUAUAUUCUGUAGCAAGGUUAACCGUAUAGGGGAGCCGCAGGGAAACCGAGUCUUAACUGGGCGUUAAGUUGCAGGGUAUAGACCCGAAACCCGGUGAUCUAGCCAUGGGCAGGUUGAAGGUUGGGUAACACUAACUGGAGGACCGAACCGACUAAUGUUGAAAAAUUAGCGGAUGACUUGUGGCUGGGGGUGAAAGGCCAAUCAAACCGGGAGAUAGCUGGUUCUCCCCGAAAGCUAUUUAGGUAGCGCCUCGUGAAUUCAUCUUCGGGGGUAGAGCACUGUUUCGGCUAGGGGGUCAUCCCGACUUACCAACCCGAUGCAAACUACGAAUACCGAAGAAUGUUAUCACGGGAGACACACGGCGGGUGCUAACGUCCGUCGUGAAGAGGGAAACAACCCAGACCGCCAGCUAAGGUCCCAAAGUCAUGGUUAAGUGGGAAACGAUGUGGGAAGGCACAGACAGCCAGGAUGUUGGCUUAGAAGCAGCCAUCAUUUAAAGAAAGCGUAAUAGCUCACUGGUCGAGUCGGCCUGCGCGGAAGAUGUAACGGGGCUAAACCAUGCACCGAAGCUGCGGCAGCGACACGAUGUGUUGUUGGGUAGGGGAGCGUUCUGUAAGCCUGCGAAGGUGUGCUGUGAGGCAUGCUGGAGGUAUCAGAAGUGCGAAUGCUGACAUAAGUAACGAUAAAGCGGGUGAAAAGCCCGCUCGCCGGAAGACCAAGGGUUCCUGUCCAACGUUAAUCGGGGCAGGGUGAGUCGACCCCUAAGGCGAGGCCGAAAGGCGUAGUCGAUGGGAAACAGGUUAAUAUUCCUGUACUUGGUGUUACUGCGAAGGGGGGACGGAGAAGGCUAUGUUAGCCGGGCGACGGUUGUCCCGGUUUAAGCAUGUAGGCUGGUUAUCCAGGCAAAUCCGGAUAAUCAAGGCUGAGGUGUGAUGACGAGGCACUACGGUGCUGAAGUAACAAAUGCCCUGCUUCCAGGAAAAGCCUCUAAGCAUCAGGUAACAUCAAAUCGUACCCCAAACCGACACAGGUGGUCAGGUAGAGAAUACCAAGGCGCUUGAGAGAACUCGGGUGAAGGAACUAGGCAAAAUGGUGCCGUAACUUCGGGAGAAGGCACGCUGGUGUGUAGGUGAAGUCCCUGCGGAUGGAGCUGAGACCAGUCGAAGAUACCAGCUGGCUGCAACUGUUUAUUAAAAACACAGCACUGUGCAAACACGAAAGUGGACGUAUACGGUGUGACGCCUGCCCGGUGCCGGAAGGUUAAUUGAUGGGGUUAUCCGUAAGGAGAAGCUCUUGAUCGAAGCCCCGGUAAACGGCGGCCGUAACUAUAACGGUCCUAAGGUAGCGAAAUUCCUUGUCGGGUAAGUUCCGACCUGCACGAAUGGCGUAAUGAUGGCCAGGCUGUCUCCACCCGAGACUCAGUGAAAUUGAACUCGCUGUGAAGAUGCAGUGUACCCGCGGCAAGACGGAAAGACCCCGUGAACCUUUACUAUAGCUUGACACUGAACAUUGAGCCUUGAUGUGUAGGAUAGGUGGGAGGCUUUGAAGCGUGGACGCCAGUCUGCGUGGAGCCAACCUUGAAAUACCACCCUUUAAUGUUUGAUGUUCUAACGUUGGCCCCUGACCGGGGUUGCGGACAGUGUCUGGUGGGUAGUUUGACUGGGGCGGUCUCCUCCCAAAGCGUAACGGAGGAGCACGAAGGUUAGCUAAUCCUGGUCGGACAUCAGGAGGUUAGUGCAAUGGCAUAAGCUAGCUUGACUGCGAGCGUGACGGCGCGAGCAGGUGCGAAAGCAGGUCAUAGUGAUCCGGUGGUUCUGAAUGGAAGGGCCAUCGCUCAACGGAUAAAAGGUACUCCGGGGAUAACAGGCUGAUACCGCCCAAGAGUUCAUAUCGACGGCGGUGUUUGGCACCUCGAUGUCGGCUCAUCACAUCCUGGGGCUGAAGUAGGUCCCAAGGGUAUGGCUGUUCGCCAUUUAAAGUGGUACGCGAGCUGGGUUUAGAACGUCGUGAGACAGUUCGGUCCCUAUCUGCCGUGGGCGCUGGAGAAUUGAGGGGGGCUGCUCCUAGUACGAGAGGACCGGAGUGGACGCAUCACUGGUGUUCGGGUUGUCAUGCCAAUGGCACUGCCCGGUAGCUAAAUGCGGAAGAGAUAAGUGCUGAAAGCAUCUAAGCACGAAACUUGCCCCGAGAUGAGUUCUCCCUGAGACUUUAAGUCUCCUGAAGGAACGUUAAAGACGAUGACGUUGAUAGGCCGGGUGUGUAAGCGCAGCGAUGCGUUGAGCUAACCGGUACUAAUGAACCGUGAGGCUUAACCUUACAACGCCGAAG
rnacentral:rRNA from 1 species